rnacentral:lncRNA from 1 species
AUUGAGAACAGGAGUGAAAAGAACACGGUUCGUAUGAACGUGUUGAUUCUCCCCAGUUUGCUGCGUAUACGUAACCAUCAAGUUCUUGUUUUGAGGAAAAGGCAGGCCCCAGCUUACUCGAUCACUCUUGAACAAUCCACAACAGAAGGUAGGCACUGCAACUUCUUCAUCCUGGAUUACCAAUACACCAGAAUUUGGACCCUCGGGAGGCGGUGAUGAAAGAGCUGAAGGAUCUCUUAGAUACAUCGAAAGAGGCCUUGUCACAUACAUUUCCUCUCAAACUUUUCUCUGCGUAUAGUGACCAAGCAAAAAUUCUUUAUCUUAUCCUUAAUUUCAAAUGUUGUUUUAGGAGUCAAAUCAUAAUUUGUCAAACUAUGGAGAAUUAAAAUGUAAUUUUUAUAUAUCAGGACCAAACUGAAAUUUUAUAAUUUUCAACCGUGAAACUACUUUAUCUAGAAUUUCUAGCAAAGAUUGUUCCAAAUUUCUUAGCCAUUCUUGCCCAUGACACAUCAAAGAAACAAAUCAACCUCAUGUUAUUAUCCCUAACAAAAUCAUUCAAAAUCAAUUAAUUUCAACAUUAACCCAUAUUAAUCAUCAAUUAUUGAAACUUAAAAACAUAAAUUUCAAAUAUUUAGAAACAUUAACACGUUAAAAAAAAAAAUGUAAUGAGCAACAAAAACAAAAAUCAUGUAUAUCAAAUUACGAUCUCAACACAAAAACGUAAUUUAUCCAUCACUCAUGAUCCUUUUUUUCUUUUCCUUCCUCCUCUUUUUCUUUUGGUUUUCUCCGUUUCUGGUUUCUUCUUCUUUUUUCUUUUUUUAUCUCUCUCUAUAUAUCAAUCUAUGUGAAACGACUGACGUGUCCCCAACCAUUACCAACCACAUAAGGUUGUUCAAAUCGCGAUUUUAACACGGCACGGAAAAUACAAAACAAACUCGGAUCGUAAAAACAGAUCGUAAAAUCGUAAGGAAUUUUAAAAUAUAUUAACAAAAAAUUCAUGAUUCAAAUAAAAAUUCAUACAUAUACUAUACAAUUAAUUUUUUCGUAAAAUCAUUCUAUCAUUCCAUUAAUAAAAUCAAUUUCAUCAUUCCAUCAUAUACUAAAAUAGCAUCUUAAAACCAUUCCAUCAUUCCACAAUGCCAUACAGACACAACUAAUUCAAUCCAAUCCAAUCCAAUAGUCCACAGUAUACUGUUCCAUCAAUUCCAUUUAAUUCAUUCCAUCAAUUCAAGGGACAGAAAAACAUUAUAAAUGGACAAAUUACAGGACCGGCAAAAUCAUUCCAUCAAAAAUGUAUAAACGCCUGAAGCAGAAAAAUUAUUUGAUUAACAAUUGUAGCUAUGAAUUCCAGCAAGGUUCAUACAACAUCUACUCUCCAUUAUGCUAAACUUCUCAAGAAAAGAAAAUUAUGACUAUAUAUGAAGGGUUAGCACUACAACUCAAAGAAUCUUGUAGAUAAAAGAAGAUGGAAAGCCUAAAGAAUGAACGAGCAGUACAAAUAAAAAAGUAUAUUAGUACUUGAUAUCAGGAUUUUAGACUAAUAAUUUGUCAUGAUCUACAUAAGUUUGCAGUAACAGUUUCUUCUAGGGAGAAGAAUCUGAUAGCCUGUCACAAAGACAUUUGCAAUGUAUCAUCAAGCAUUCCCCAGUUCUUUUGUCGUCACAGAUUCUUCACAACUUGUCACUGCAUCACUUUUCAUCAAACCGACAGUCCACGUAUCAAAAUUUUGAAUACAUCCUAGGAAACAAAAUUCAUCCCAGAGUUAAGGUCAAUACAAUAGCUAGGCAAAAUGGAACACGUUACAAUCUAACUUUGAUUUUGAUCCAAAUUUUCAUGGAAGUGAACAAAGUGGAAAAUUAAAGAUAAAUGGUUGUACCUUGAUUGCAUUAGUGCUCUCUAGUUCAGUGAUUUUACCAUCUUCUUCAUGAUUUUCAUGUAGUGGCUCUUCGUUUGCAGGCAUUAUAAUUUAUUUUUAUUUUUUUGAUUUACGUGGGUAUCCGGGCCAGCUUGCGCGCACCACGACUAAUUUCACGGCUCGCUGAACAUCCUGCAAACCCAGUGAGCAUGUAAGGCACUGCGGGAGUGACAGGCGUACACGCUGAGGCUUGAACCCAGGAUGCAGAGGUAAGGAAACUCCUUGCCACCGCUGGGCUACAAGCCUCGGUGUCAGGCAUUAUAAUUUCAUUCCACCACUGGUUGAUCUUCGUCAUGUUGUUCCUCAUUUUCUUCAGCCACUAUUAUUAAACACCAAUUCCAAAAUUUUCAUUAUAAUUAGACCCAAUUAUCUUAAAGAACAAUUAAAAUUACACUACAAGAUUUAACAGUUUUACCGAUGAAAUUUUUCCGUCGGCGUAAUUAAGACACAUAUUCCAUCGGUAAUUAAUUUACCGACGAAAUCACCGACGAAAAUUCUCCGUCGGUGAAUUUUUGUCCGUCGGUAAAUCCGUUGGUAAUAAAAAAAAUAUUAUUACCGAUGGAUUUACUGGCGGAAUAGACGCGUCAGUAAAAAUAUUUUUUUAUUACCGACGGAAAGUUCCGUCGGUAUUAUUUAAAAACAUUUUAAAAAAAAUUCAUUUUAUAAAAUUAUAAAAUAAUUAAAUUAACAUAAAUCAACAUUGCAUAAUAUAUACUCAAAAUGCUUGGGAAAAAAAAAGAAUAAGAAAAUCAACUCAAACAAAUUUGCAACAAAUAAAUAAAACAAAAGAAUUAGUUCAACUAAAAAAAAUCAUAUGAAAAAAAUGAAGUUCCAAUUGCUAAAAAUUUAAAAAUCCUAUAAAUAAAUCAACUAAAAAUUGAUCUCAUAUGAAAAAAAAAAUUCACAACAACAUCUAUACAAUUAUGAAGAACAAAAUCAAUUAAAAAUAAAAUAAAAAAACAAAUAUAGUGAAAACAAUCAUGAAAAAAUAAGAAAAAAGAAAAAUAUUACCUUAAUGUACUUGCAAGUGAAGCUAAGGAAUUUUUUUUUGUAAAGCAUAUUAAUUAAAAAAGAAACUAAGAGGAUAAAAGAAGAAAGAAGAAGAAGACAUACCCGAGCAUGGAGGAAAAGAGAAGGAGAUGAGGAGAGAAAAGAAGAAAAAAAAUAAAUAUUGAUGUUUUUUACAUAUAGUGAAGAAGAAGAAGUAGAAGAAGAAGAAGAAGAAAUAAUGAGUCUGUCUCUUGUGAAAUAAGCGGAGUCAGGUUUUUUAUUGGGGCGCGUUACCGACGGAUUUACCGAAGAAUAAUUGAAUAUUAAUAUUUUUUAAUUAUUCCAUCUGUAAUUUCGUAAAAAGUUUUCAGAAACCGUCAAAAAUUACUGACGAUUUUUCAAUCCGUCGGUGAUUCCGUCUGUAAUAUUUAAAUGAAAAUUUUAAAUCAAUUGAAUUUUUUCAGAAAACCGUCAAAUAACACCCACGUAUUUUCAAUCCGUCGGUGAUUUUGUCCGUAAAGAACAACACUUAACAGUGCAAUUGGAAGGUGAACAGUUCUGGAGCUCUCUGGAAAAUACCGACAGCAAAUUCCGUCGAUAAUUCCCUUUGUAAUUGACAUGAUGAACAAUAUUCACAGUUUACCAACGGAUUUACCAAAUUACCGACGGAAAAAAUUUCGUCGUGUCGGUAAUUCUGUUGGUAAAAAAUGACACGUUAUCAUUUUUUUUGCUUUGUUUUAAUUUUUUUUCCCACGGUAAUUCCCUCGGUAUUUCCAUUUGUAUUUAUUGAUUUUCUGGUAGUGUUAACCCAAGAAUCCAAAAAAGUAAAAAAAAAUUAAUAAUAAUAAUAAUAAAAAAAACCACAUAUCUGCUUCUCUAUAAGUAUUUUAGAAAACCAUUUUAAUACUUCGGUGUGAGCUUUACAACCAUCAAGCCUUAGACUGUUGAAGCAGUAAAUGGAGGGACAAUGAUUUGUUCUUCUCCACGUAAGGAUUUCAGGUCGACGAUGCAGGGAGUAAAAACCAGAGGCGAAAAAGAAAAAACAAAGCUUGGGAAUAAAUUCUUACCUUAUUCUCGAUAGCAAGCAAAACAAGAGGCACUGAGAGAGUGGAGAGUGAAAAGUGGAGAUUGGGGAUAAUUAGAUUCAGAAUUUCAAAUCUUAAAUAUUUAGCAGACAAUUAGUAAAAAUGGAGAGUAAAGAGUACUGCGAACAGGGAAAGGGAGGGGGUGGGGAAGGGAAAGGGGAAACUGGGGAAGGGGAAAGGGCAACGGGAAAGGGUGGAGGCGCUGCAACUGUUUUAUAUUUCACGUGAAAUCGUGAAAUCGGUUCGUGUUUAAUGUUUUUUCCGAGUUAGACUGAUUUUAUACAAGUUUGACCGGGUUUGACCGAUUUUACUGGUUUUCAAGUUUUAAAUCCGAUUUUGCACGUUUUAUAUGUUUUGACUCGUAAAAUGGUAUGAUUUUACGAGUUAAAACGUGAUUUUGAUAAUCUUGCAACCACAGCCAUGCACAUAAGGGCAAUACCGUCUGUUUAUCCAAACUUACAUAAGCAUGCAUGAUUAAUAAGAAACUGGUCCCUAGUUAACUUCCAUAAAUGAUGAAGCUUUUCAGACACGAAGAUUCGUGAGAUUUUCAUAAACAUUUGAAGACAUGAUGGAGCUCGUUAAUUUCUGGAUAUCAAGUAGCUCAAAAAUUCUGUUCGGGGAGUUGAAACAAAACGGCAAUCUUCCAUGCAAGUCAGAAAAGGUAUAGCGGUUAACAAAAAAACUGAUGCUUAUAGCUACAUGAACCAAUCAAAACUUUUAAGGAGCAUAAAAGACUGUUCAAUCAUUCUCAGAUUGGCCUCAUAUUCCGACAUCUAUCAUGCAUGUAUAAUGUAUCGAGAGAGACCGAAGAGUUAGUAUUGUCAAUUAAAACCUAUUAUGAGGUUUGAUGCAAGCUUUGUGUCUGUCAAGAGCUUACAUUCAGCAGAACUAGACAUGCUAUUUGUGAAAGAUUGAACCUGCAGAGUUAGCUGUUGGAUAGUUUCCUUUCACUGUUUGAUUUAUUAUUUUUUUGUAAGGUCCUUUGGCCUUCAAUUUUUGGAUGUUGCAGAUAAUUUUGUUUUCACAUCAGUCCAAUCACUGAAAAUUGAUUCAUUCCUUGAAAUGAUAAUUCUCAAUUCUCUAUAAAGGAUCUAGUCCAUUUCCUCUUCCUUCCUUCCCUUUUCCUUGCCGAAAUCAUGUUUUUGUUAUUAGGCAUGGGAUGUUUCUUAAAGCAUUAUUUAUCCCAUUGUCUCAAUCUUCUCGUGUAUAUAUAGAGAGAUAAGGAAGAUAUCAAUCUGAAAAGUCAAUAGCACAGACAAUUUAGACAAGUAAUAAGAAUCCUACAAGAGGAAAAGUAGAUCAAAAGGUUCUGCAAUGUUGAUACUUGGUCAAACCGGUUGAUUUGUUAUAUUUAGUUUUAAAAAUGUACAAUAUUUGUCGCCAACAGUGCAGCUUUGGAUUUUGGAAUAUUGAUUCUUCCAGCCAAAAAUACUAGGUUAUCUUAUUAGCUUAAUCGUUAUCUUAUUAGUGGGGGCAGAGGAAGAAUAUUUAUGAUCAUCCGUGCCCAAUCGUUAUCUUAUUAGCUUUGAAAUCCGUGUCAUUGUGCAAUUUUAAUCAAUUUAUUAGCUCAACCUAUAAUUUCAAAAUAGUUUAUUCACUGCAAUCGCUUGAAUUUAUAAAAAAAAAAAAAAAAAAAAAACAUCAAGGCAGACCAAAGGGUUUUUUUGGUGUGCAGUAAUGCAGUUUGUAAUGUUUUUCAAAGACAUUUUUUAUAUCUUUUAAUUUUUAACCUUAACACGUCAAAUUAAUUAAAAAUAUUAAAUAAAUAUUUUUAAAAUAAAAAUAAUUUAAAAAACUACUACAACCACGGUAUCAUAGAUAGGCUAACACUACACAUCUUAUAACUGAAAUGGUACCACGUGUAACAUAUGAAUACAGCAAAAGAGAGGAAAAACAUAAAACAUUCUCAUUCUUCCCAGUACAUUAAAUCCCUCAACCAACACAUAGCAUCCAGAUUUCCUCUCUCUACCAAUCCCACUUGCUCACAAAUUGUUAAAAAUAAAACCAUCUGCUCCUUGUUUUUUUUAUUUAUAUAUAAUUCUAAUUGAUUAAAAAAAGUAAAAACGAGGCAUAUAUAAUUUUAUAAUUCCCAUCCGCUUCUAAUGCGAUGAGGAUGCCUGAAAUCAUAGGUCAGCAAUAAGCUUCCAUCCAUUCUCUUCAAGGCAAACCUCUCAACCAAAACAUAGCAACCAAAUCUCCUCCACUUCCCCUUGCCAUCAAAAACCUCUUCUCUCUUCACCCUCACCUCCCUUUCAUCCCCGCUAGCACCCCCUACUCCUUGCACCCACUUCAUUCCCUCCACAAUCUCCAUUCUCAGUCCCACACUUGCUUCUGAUCCUGUCACUCUGUUGAAACUCCUGAACCACGUCACCCCAUCAACAACAUCCCUUUGGUCCGCCACAGCUUCUGUCCCACCAACUGUAACAACUUCACAUUCAACAGCAACAUCCACAGUUACAGUAUUGCCUUCAUUAUACAUAUCUUCACAAGCAAAGAUUUGCUCCCAUUGUUGCUCGAGUGUCAUCUCAUAAUAGGUUGAAUGUUUCAUUUGAUCUUUAAGAGCUGUCCCUUCCUUGAUAAACAUGAAAGGGCAAUACCACUUCCCCGCUACUACAGGCGGGGAACAUUUUUGUGACACUGGGAAGUUGAAGUCCGGGAGGCGGGCGCGGAGAGCUGUGUUAAGGCCUGGUGCUUCAUUUAGCUGGAACUCCUUUGAAGUUGAGGUAUACACUCGCCAGCCCUUUCUCCUCAGGAAAUCUGGAGGAAACCCAUCUGAAGCUACGGAUUUAGCAGCAAAAUCUCCCCGUUUACGGUGUUGAAUCUCAAAUUGCUGAUAAAUGUUUCUUGGGUCCAAAGGUUGCGGUUUUAAAUCAGAUAUACGGGUGCAGAAACAGCAUGUUUUCAUAUCCUCUUCCUUGGAGUUUAUGUAAGCUUCCCUGAAAGCCAAUAUGAGUGUGGAUUUAUUAAGAAUUGGCUAAUUAAAACGAGCGAGAAAAAAAAAAGGAAAUGUUUGCGCCCAUUUUCUUAAUCCAGAAACGCAGCGGUGAUUCAUAUGUUAGGUUCCCAGCUGACGCAAUCUUUCCAUGUUGUUUGAGAUCUUGAAUUGAUUUCAAAGAUAUAGAGGAUAUGGGAAAAAAAAAAAGCAAAAGAAAAACAAAACAAGGUGAAGUUGGAGGUAGAGCACACACAUACCCUUUAUGCUUCCCUUUUCUCUCAACCACGUAGUAUUGAUUGGAAGAUAAUGGCUGAUUGAGAACAGGAGUGAAAAGAACACGGUUCGUAUGAACGUGUUGAUUCUCCCCAGUUUGCUGCGUAUACGUAACCAUCAAGUUCUUGUUUUGAGGAAAAGGCAGGCCCCAGCUUACUCGAUCACUCUUGAACAAUCCACAACAGAAGGUAGGCACUGCAACUUCUUCAUCCUGGAUUACCAAUACACCAGAAUUUGGACCCUCGGGAGGCGGUGAUGAAAGAGCUGAAGGAUCUCUUAGAUACAUCGAAAGAGGCCUUGUCACAUACAUUUCCUCUCAAACUUUUCUCUGCGUAUA